rnacentral:rRNA from 1 species
GAUGAACGCUGGCGGCGUGCCUAAUACAUGCAAGUCGAGCGAACAGACGAGGAGCUUGCUCCUCUGACGUUAGCGGCGGACGGGUGAGUAACACGUGGAUAACCUACCUAUAAGACUGGGAUAACUUCGGGAAACCGGAGCUAAUACCGGAUAAUAUAUUGAACCGCAUGGUUAAAUAGUGAAAGACGGUUUUGCUGUCACUUAUAGAUGGAUCCGCGCCGCAUUAGCUAGUUGGUAAGGUAACGGCUUACCAAGGCAACGAUGCGUAGCCGACCUGAGAGGGUGAUCGGCCACACUAGAACUGAGACACGGUCCAGACUCCUACGGGAGGCAGCAGUAGGGAAUCUUCCGCAAUGGGCGAAAGCCUGAAGGAGCAACGCCGCGUGAGUGAUGAAGGUCUUCGGAUCGUAAAACUCUGUUAUUAGGGAAGAACAAAUGUGUAAGUAACUAUGCACGUCUUGACGGUACCUAAUCAGAAAGCCACGGCUAACUACGUG